GAAAUGCUUUUUAUAGAAGUGUACCUUAAAACCUUGAAUUAAAAAAAACAUUGUAUUGUGUUAAGCACAAAAACUGUGGAGGGAUACAUAAUUUGAAGAGCCUCUGAUAGUAUUAACUCAUUCUUCGCUAUUUUUCUUUCUCCUGGGCUCACUCAAUGCCUUCUUAGCCUUUGCCCACUCUUUCAAAGAAGUCGAGCUUCUCAUAAAUGUGCAAGUAUCCCCCGACCCAACCUUUCUCUUAAUUAUCUUCUUCUUCGCACCCAAUUUAGCUCCUUCACUCACAUUCUUACCAUUCAGACGCUGCCGAUUCUCAUCUAAACUUCUCACAGGGGUACUAUCCACAGGGACUCCCGCAGCCACAAAACCACCGCUGCUAGAUGCGUAAUCUGUUUGUUUCAUUGCACUUGCAGUCUGGUUAGAGUUGGAGAACUGGUUUCCUACAUUGUUGAUCACUCCAGCUGCUUCGCCCUUGUCUGAAGUUAAAUCUGGGAAGAGUUGAGUUAUACUGAAUGAAGAAGUAUUUUUGUCGCUAACCAGCUGAGUCCACGAAGCCUUCUGAAGCCAUGAAGAACCUCCUGUUGACUUGUUACUAGCUUUCAGCGGUCCUUUACCCGCCUCUUCUUCAUCUACAACAUUUUCCUUCACGACUAAGCUUUCCUUUUCUGCAUUCAAAUCCUCUGCUACAUUUUCAUGCUUCUCCACAUUCGACUUGCCGUCCACACUAUCGCCCUCUGUGUUUGCAACAAAUUCCAGGGGGACAGCUUCAACACUUGUGUCACUAACAGUAUCUGCAAGUGAUCCUGAGUCGUCUGAACCUACAUCGUCAUUAGCUGUGUCAUCGCACAUAGAGUCAAUAGCUGUGUCAUCUUCCACAGCAUCACUAUCAUCCCUCUCAGCCACAGAGUCACUAGCUGUGUCAUCUGCCAUAGAUUCACAAGCUGUGUAAUA